AUUGAACGCUGGCGGCAGGCUUAACACAUGCAAGUCGAGCGGGGUGAUGGUGCUUGCACUAUCACUUAGCGGCGGACGGGAGAGUAAUGCUUAGGAAUCUGCCUAUUAGUGGGGGACAACAUCUCGAAAGGGAUGCUAAUACCGCAUACGUCCUACGGGAGAAAGCAGGGGAUCACUUGUGACCUUGCGCUAAUAGAUGAGCCUAAGUCGGAUUAGCUAGUUGGUGGGGGUAAAGGCCUACCAAGGCGACGAUCUGUAGCGGGUCUGAGAGGAUGAUCCGCCACACUGGGACUGAGACACGGCCCAGACUCCUACGGGAGGCAGCAGUGGGGAAUAUUGGACAAUGGGGGGAACCCUGAUCCAGCCAUGCCGCGUGUGUGAAGAAGGCCUUAUGGUUGUAAAGCACUUUAAGCGAGGAGGAGGCUCUUUUGGUUAAUACCCAGGAUGAGUGGACGUUACUCGCAGAAUAAGCACCGGCUAACUCUGUGCCAGCCGCCGCCGUAA
rnacentral:rRNA from 1 species